UCGUUCACCAUCAAAGAAGGCAUGCGCCAUUCAUAUUCAUGCGCCCUCGCUGUCUAAAACUGGGAGGCAAGGUUGCGUGCAAAAACUCGAUUCUCUCGGGAAGAAAAAGAGAGGGGAAAGUGGAGAUAGUCGCGGAGGAGAUUCCGCGAAUCUCCUCUUUAACUCCAUCUUCUCGUCUCUCUCCUCGCAUGCUCUCUCUUUUUUCCCUUCCCCUUCGGCACCACAAGCACCACCAACCUCAUCUGAAACCUAGAGGAGACUAUCGCCACACGACUAAAGAUCAAAUUGCGAACACCAUUUCAUGCAGGCCCACAGCUCCCACCAAGCGGAAAGGAUUCUGCACCAGGGAUAAAAGCUGAUGUGGUGGCUGGGAUGCCUGUAGUAAGUUUGACAACAAGAAAUCCAGCACAGUUACUGAUGGAUGCAGGGGCCACCUUCCUCAUCUAAAAAUUACAAAGAUCCAAAGCUGUUGGCAGCACUGGAAGAGUUAGAGCAACGGCAACUAAGAGAUCAGUUGAUACUUAGAGAGGCUCUCACAAAGAAUCAAAUGUUGAUGGCAUGGGGCAUGAUGGCCACUGGCAGGAGCGAGCCCUUCUAAAUGGUUUGAGGUUCAACAGUUCAACAUAUAUAUUGGUUUUUUCCUUCUAAGAAACUUUCUCUAUGGAUCGAAGAUUUCAAUUUGAAUUUGAAAAUCCACAAAUACUGUAAUGCAGCUCCCCAGGCAACCAAUCAAGUAAACAUGAUCCUAGGAUCCAUAAAAUGAGUCUUGGCAUCCAAAACAACAUGUAAACCUAGGCAUUCAAAGAAAAGCAGCACCUGCCUCAUAAUGGAACUAAAGCAAGCAAUUAGCUUACUUCAGACAUCGCGACUCAUGAGUAGCAUGAUAAGUUGUUCCAUCUAGACAUGUGAACCAUAUCAAACUGGAAAGUCAGGACAGAGUCCAAACACAACUACAUAGCAUGAUAUGCAAAUAACAUUCGGGUAAGACUUGCAUGGCAAAAGCUAGUUAACAACCAAAUGUCAGAGAUAAGAAUAAACAA